rnacentral:rRNA from 1 species
UACGUAGGGUGCAAGCGUUGUCCGGAAUUAUUGGGCGUAAAGAGCUCGUAGGCGGUCUGUCGCGUCGGCUGUGAAAACCCGGGGCUCAACCCCGGGCCUGCAGUCGAUACGGGCAGACUAGAGUGCGGUAGGGGAGACUGGAAUUCCUGGUGUAGCGGUGAAAUGCGCAGAUAUCAGGAGGAACACCGGUGGCGAAGGCGGGUCUCUGGACCGAUACUGACGCUGAGGAGCGAAAGCGUGGGGAGCGAACAGG